rnacentral:lncRNA from 1 species
GUCACUCCCAUUGAGCAGCUGUGGGGCCCUCUCCCACAUGGCCCAGGUCCACCACUCUGUCAAAGGUCGCACAGCCCAGACAAAAACAGGACACAGCAGUGUGUGAAUGAGCCGGGCUUUCUCCUUCCCUCCACGUAAUAGAAGGUGCCUGAGGUUGUUGAAACACAGUCCAUUUCUCCUGGGAAUGACAAGAAUUUGAGGGAUGCUGACUUUCAAGGAAUACUGCAUGACAGGCAUCAAGAUAAACCUGAUGAAGAAAACAUAGGCCAGAAUCUGGGAAUCGGGAGCAAAGUAAUACAGCUUCGGGGACAGGCACGUAAUGAGGUCAUGAUCCCAUGGCUCUGCCUUUAGUCCUUGUUCACGUCUCAAAAUGGAUAAUGAUGCACAGGGUGUGUGGUUAGAGCAGGAGUUGGAAGGAACGGGGAGGGAACAGUCAUAGCUUCCAGUCCCAUCUGCUUCUUGUCUCUAUGCCCAGAACCUGACCCUGGAACAGGACUGAGCAGGUGCCUGUGUGCACAGAAGACCUUGUGUGAGUCCUUUGGUACCACGUUUGCUGCACGAAUGUCUGAGACACCUCACAGUCGCUUGGUUCAGCCUCUCCCUCCUCUCUCCGCUGGGGAACAUCAUCCCUCAUCACUGGAAGAAAUUACAAGGAUUGUGUAAACAAUUACAAGUAUUCUACAAACAGUGAGCAUGCUGGUUUGGCCCAUCUAUUUGUAAGAAAAAACAUGGGGUUUUAUGGCAAUGAGUUACAGCUCUGAACUCCUGGCACAAUCACAAAUAUCCUCAGCACAAAACACCAAGUGUAUGUCUCCCUUCUGUCCUAAAAGGGUAGUGUGUGCAACUCAUUGAUGGGGCUCCCAUUUCAUUUUUGAAAGAUCUGCUCACUGAUAAUACCAGUGAGAUUGUUUUCACCAAGAUCUAUGACAUACAAAUAAACUGUUGCU